AUAAUAUUAUUAGAAAUGGCAGUACGGUGAGCAGUACUAAUCUUGAGGUGAAAAACAGAUGAGAGUGAGAGUGAAGGUAGACAAUGGAGGAGGAGAGGCGUUUUAGGAGAUUUGGAAGAGCCCAAAGGCACAGGCUGUUACCUCUUCAAACUUCAGAAACUGGAAUCCCUCGUCUAUCAAACACAAUUUCAUGUUGGUUUUGCGAUUACAAAAUCACAGCCUUUAAUUCUCAGUUAUUCCGUAUUGGAAGGAGGCAUGCUCGCUUCUUCAAGCUAUGGUUUUCAAUUGGGGUCGGUUUUGCCCUCACUUCACUUUUCCUUGUCACUAUGAUUCUUGUUUGGGACUCAGGCACUGCUUUCCAUAUAUUUGGUGGUGGAAAUAGAGAGCUAAGCAAUGUUGUUCAUUCCUUGUUGUUUGGGUUUUCUCCUACAAUCUAUGCAUUUAGACUAUCAGUUACUGAUGCUGCUCUUUUGCUACUUUCUACUUUGAUUUCUGUUUCUGCCCAUGAAUUUGGCCAUGCCAUUUCUGCUGCCAGUGAGGGCAUACAGACGGAAUACAUUGCCGUUUUUAUUGCAGUCCUUUUUCCUGGUGCUCUUGCCGCUUUCAAUCAUGAGUUGCUUCAGAUUUUACCACGUUUUGCUGCCCUUCGUAUAUACUGUGCUGGAAUUUGGCAUAAUGCUGUGUGCUGUGCAGUUUGUGGACUGCUGUUAUUCCUCCUGCCCUUCAUCUUGUCUCCCUUUUACAUGCAUGGUGAAAGCCUCAUGGUUUUAAAUGUACCUUCUGCCUCUCCUUUGUCUGGUUAUUUGUCUCCUGGUGAUAUAAUCGUGUCAUUGGAUGGUAGGCGUAUUCAUAAUGAACAGGAAUGGAUGGAGAUGACUGCUCUAAUACAUCAACAGGCGCUCCCAAGUUCAAACCAUUCAGAAAAUUCCAGAGGUUCUUCCAUAGUUCAUAGUAGAAAUGGUUACUGUGUUCCUACUUCUAUGAUCGAAGAGAGCAAGAAAAUUCAUUUGGCAGAUGAUCAAUCAGCUUGCCCUGAUAAUCUGACUGAAUUUGUAGCCAUUCAAUGCUUUGGUUCUAGUCAUUUACAUGAUGCCACCUUUGAGAAUGGUCAUCUAAGCAGAAAAGAUGGUAUGCACUGCUUGGAUGCUAGGGAUGCUGUCAAACUUAAGAGAUGUGAUCGUGGAUGGGCUACAGAAAUAACUAAUGGAAGCAGCUGUUUAUGUUCCCAAGAUGAACUUUGUUUAAGCCCUGUCCAUUUUCCCGGGUUAAUAUGGGCUGAGAUCACUUAUUCAAGGCCUUACUCUCCAGAAUGCUUACUACUUGGAAAAAACUCUGUUCCUGAUUCUGAAACUGAUUUCACAGAAGAUAACUGUGGUGGGACUUUUGUUUUUGUUGGUGAAGUGAUCUCCAUGGCACACUCACUUCAGUUAACUGCUUAUCAACCUCGCUGGGCAUUCACUUUCAGUGCAUAUAUUCCAAAGGUUCUGGAAAAGAGCUUAACAUGCACAUUUCAAGUUUCUCUUACAGUUGCUCUCCUCAACAGCUUGCCGAUCAUCUUAACUCUUGGAGAAGAAUAUGCUUUUAGAAGAAAAACCCUCUGGCUGCAAGUGUUUGUUUUCGGUGCAUCUAGGAGAGGAUGUGGUACUGCGUAUCCAUGCCAUUGAAAUUUUCUACCGAGCGUAGCUGGAUGUACCAAUUUGAAGUCAAGUUGUGUAAGGGUUUUGGAAAAGAUGGUUUCUGGUCACCAAAUUUCUGAGAUUUUCAGUGUCAUGAUAAAGUGCAGUGUUGUGAGUAUUCAGGUCUAAUUUCAGCCAUGGCUGUUGUUUAUUACUGCAUUUCAUAGCUAUCUACUUUUUAAUUGGAAAAAUAUCAGAAACACUCUUCUUUUUUUUUUGUUUAUUUUUAAUCAAAUUUAUAGUAUCUUUUUCAUUUUUACUGUGUAAAAAUAUCAAAAAUAUAGUUUUUUUUUUUUUACUUUUUUAUCCUCAAAUUUAUGGGUUUGAUUGACUUUUAAUACAACUGAAAAAUAGCCGAAAACAACCAAAGAAACAAUGACUGUAAAUUUGAAAGAAAAAAGGUUAGAAAAACAGUAAAAACGAUAUAUUAUAUUUUUGUUGAUUCUGGGACAUUUUUGAAAGUUUCUUUUUUAAUUCAACA